rnacentral:rRNA from 1 species
AUUGAACGCUGGCGGCAUGCCUUACACAUGCAAGUCGAACGGUAACAGGUCUUCGGAUGCUGACGAGUGGCGAACGGGUGAGUAAUACAUCGGAACGUGCCCGAGAGUGGGGGAUAACGAGGCGAAAGCUUUGCUAAUACCGCAUACGAACUCAGGCUGAAAGCAGGGGACCGCAAGGCCUUGCGCUCACGGAUCGGCCGGUGGCAGAUUAGGUAGUUGGUGGGAUAAAAGCUUACCAAGCCGACGAUCGGUAGCUGGUCUGAGAGGACGACCAGCCACACUGGGACUGAGACACGGCCCAGAAUCCUACGGGAGGCAGCAGUGGGGAAUUUUGGACAAUGGGCGCAAGCCUGAUCCAGCCAUGCCGCGUGCAGGAUGAAGGCCUUCGGGUUGUAAACUGCUUUUGUACGGAACGAAAAGACUCCUUCUAAUAAAGGGGGUCCAUGACGGUACCGUAAGAAUAAGCACCGGCUAACUACGUGCCAGCCGCCGCAGUAACAC